GAUUAUGGCUCAGGAUGAACGCUAGCGGCAGGCUUAACACAUGCAAGUCGAGGGGCAGCGUGGAGUAGCAAUACUCUGACGGCGACCGGCGAAAGGGUGAGUAACGCGUGAGCAACAUGCCCGAUACUGGAGGAUAGUCGAUGGAAACGUCGCGUAAUACUCCGUAACAUAGGGGACCGCAUGAUUCUCUAUUAAUAGAUUUAUCGGUAUCGGAUUGGCUCGCGUACCAUUAGCUAGUUGGCGGGGUAACGGCCCACCAAGGCGACGAUGGUUAGGGGUUCUGAGAGGAAGGUCCCCCCACAUUGGAACUGAGACACGGUCCAGACUCCUACGGGAGGCAGCAGUGAGGAAUAUUGGUCGAUGGCCGAGAGGCUGAACCAGCCAUGCCGCGUGCGGGAUUGACGGCCCUAUGGGUUGUAAACCGCUUUUGUUGGGGAGCAAUAAGGUUCACGUGUGGACUGAUGAGAGUACCCAGCGAAUAAGCAUCGGCUAACUCCGUGCCAGCCGCAGC
rnacentral:rRNA from 1 species